AUGGGACUAGACAGAGUUUUGAGUUACUUUACUCUAGCAAUCUUCAUUCAAUAUUCCUGCAGUCAGACACUGAUCGAGUCUGAUCCAGUGAUCAUCAAACCUGAUCAGUCUCAUAAACUGACCUGCACAGCCUCUGGAUUAGACAUUAGUAGCUACUGGAUGGCUUGGAUCAGACAGGCGCCUGGAAAAGGGCUGGAAUUUGUUGCAAUUAUCGAGGAUGAUAGUGAUAGGAAGUUUUACUCCAGUGCUGUUCAGGGUCGCUUCACCAUCUCCAGAGACAACAGUAAGAAGCAGGUGUAUCUGCAGAUGAACAGCAUGAGGACAGAAGACACUGCAGUUUAUUACUGCCACCUGCCUCGUCCCCCGAUCGCCACCAGAGGGAAACUUCGCCUGAGUACUAACAGCUUCCGGACUACACCUCCCAGCACCCGCUCACCGAGACUGAUUACACCGCCACCUGGCUCCAAUUACUCACUUCCUAUUUAA